rnacentral:rRNA from 1 species
GAUGAACGCUGGCGGCGUGCCUAAUACAUGCAAGUCGAGCGAACAGACGAGAGUGCUUGCACUCUCUGACGUUAGCGGCGGACGGGUGAGUAACACGUGGGUAACCUACCUAUAAGACUGGGAUAACUUCGGGAAACCGGAGCUAAUACCGGAUAAUAUUUAGCUUCGCAUGAAGCAAUAGUGAAAGACGGUUCUGCUGUCACUUAUAGAUGGACCCGCGGUGUAUUAGCUAGUUGGUGAGGUAACGGCUCACCAAGGCAACGUUACAUAGCCGACCUGAGAGGGUGAUCGGCCACACUGGGACUGAGACACGGCCCAGACUCCUACGGGAGGCAGCAGUAGGGAAUCUUCCGCAAUGGACGAAAGUCUGACGGAGCAAUGCCGCGUGAGUGAAGAAGGUUUUCGGAUCGUAAAACUCUGUUGUAAGGGAAGAACAAGUACGUUAGUAACUGAACGUACCUUGACGGUACCUUACCAGAAAGCCACGGCUAACUACGUG